CAUGCAAGUCGAGGGGCAGCGAGAUUGAAGCUUGCUUCAAUUGUCGGCGACCGGCGGACGGGUGCGUAACGCGUAUGCAACCUACCCAUAACAGGGGGAUAACACUGAGAAAUUGGUACUAAUACCCCAUAACAUCUCGAGUGGCAUCACUUGGGGUUGAAAGCUUCGGUGGUUAUGGAUGGGCAUGCGUUGUAUUAGCUAGUUGGUGAGGUAACGGCUCACCAAGGCGACGAUACAUAGGGGGACUGAGAGGUUAACCCCCCACAUUGGUACUGAGACACGGACCAAACUCCUACGGGAGGCAGCAGUGAGGAAUAUUGGUCAAUGGACGGAAGUCUGAACCAGCCAUGCCGCGUGCAGGAUGACGGCUCUAUGAGUUGUAAACUGCUUUUGUACGAGGGUAAACCCGAAUACGUGUAUUCGGCUGAAAGUAUCGUACGAAUAAGGAUCGGCUAACUCCGUGCCAGCAGCCGCGGUAAUACGGAGGAUCCAAGCGUUAUCCGGAUUUAUUGGGUUUAAAGGGUGCGUAGGCGGUCAGAUAAGUUAGAGGUGAAAUUCCGGUGCUUAACACCGGCGCUGCCUCUAAUACUGUUUGACUAGAGAGUAGUUGCGGUAGGCGGAAUGUAUGGUGUAGCGGUGAAAUGCUUAGAGAUCAUACAGAACACCGAUUGCGAAGGCAGCUUACCAAGCU
rnacentral:rRNA from 1 species